GGGGGGCUGGGGGCACUUGGUGGGCUUUCGUCUUGUUUUUCUUUUCUUUUUUCACUUCCUUCCUUUGGAAAGGAGCGUCUCUGGCUCUCUGCCGAUCUGCCGCUGCUCGCGACUGCUACCCUGUUCUCGACACCCGUCUUGCCGUGGCCUGCUGCUUGCUCCGCCGUUUCCCCGGUGAUUUGGCCAGCGUUGGGCGCGCGUCUGGCGUGUUCUUCGGCAGAUCCCUUCGUUCGGUCCUACGCUGCCGUCGAGUCUUCAUCUGCUCCAAUCGCUGGUUCUGGUCGUUUCCAACUUUCCAUCUGCGUUCGUUUUUGCUUGGGGUGGUUACAGGAUCUAUGAAAGAAUUACUUACUUUUGCUAUGCGGAGCGGGAGGAGGUGUUUGACGGAAUUCUGCUAUGAGGAGUAGGGCAGGAAGCUGCCGCCGUGGACGUCGCCGAGGGGGCCUCGUGAAGCCAAGAGCCAGAUGUGAUGUUCCGACGAGGUGGAGCCCCCGCACCCCGCCGUGAGAGCGGGCGGCUCUGGGAGCCAAGUCACGCCGCCCCUAACCGCUGGCUUCUGCUGUUCCCCCUUCCUACCGCGUGACCCCGCCACUAGCGUCAGCAGGUGCUCUCUCGCGUGAUGUCGCCGGUGGGUGUUCCAGGCCGCCGAGGGCGCCGCUGGCUGUGGUGGAUUCACCAUAUUUGAGGGCGAAGCAGGCGCAGUUAACGCAGUUCACUUCCAUCUAUAAUUACACGAUAGAAGGGCAGGCUGAUGAAAUAGCUGCUGAUGAUACUUGCCGUUUGCUUUUUCACACCACAACGCACCUGUAGUCUAGGAAUUAAGUUGAGGAUGAAAUAGACUGAAAGGGUGAUAAGUCACUCUAGCAGCAGGUCCCAGCAUGAACUGGUUUUCUUUGCUUGGAGUUCUCCUGUACUAAAUAUUCAAGAAAGCAAAACCAAAGGCGCAGACUACACAAAGAUUAUGCACCAACAUUUAAUUACAGAAGGAUCAGGAUCUUAGCUGCCAGUUCAUAGGGAAAACAUGUAUUUAGAUCUCCCUAAUGGGUAUUAUAUAUCUCUCUCUAUUGAAAAUUAGGUAUUUAUCUUAGAAUUGUUACUGAAUCUAUCUCCAUGUUUGAGAGAGUGCACUCGAAAGGGCCAGUUGGCAUCCAACUCUUGGUCAUCUGCCCUCUCCCGUUCUUAAAUCUGUUGAAAACUGUAACAAAAACUUGGAGACAUAAGCUUUACCAGGAUUAUGAAGGAACCCAACUUCAUGUAAGGAACAUUGCUGGGAUAAUCUAGAGCAUACAAUUUACUUUCCCUCCAAAGAUUCAUUGUUAGCUUGGUUCUUUUACUGUGUAUGAUUUAGUUUUUCAAACCAAUGCAGAGAAGUAUUUUAAGUAUUGGAGGUGUAUUAUUUCUCUUGCUCGCUAUGCAUAUUGUUUGACAUUCCGAUAUGAUUUAUUUUUGGGACAGUUGCUAGGAUUACUUGAUUGUAAAAGCAAUAGUUGGUUCUGACUUUUGAUCUAGAAUUCUAGAACUAACCAUAUCUAGAGUGCUAAUGUUUAGAGAUUUUGUGCGUGGAACUUUAUUUUUGUAUUUAAUUUGCGGCCAUGCAGAUGACCAUGUAAUUACCAAAUAUAUUGUUUGUGUUUCUGUUUGUUGUCAAUCAUGCAUAAAUGUCAUCAAGCUUCUUGCUGCUCAGUUUGUUUAGCUCCUUUGCGAAAGAAAAAAGUUUGUUUAGCUAGAGCAGUACUUGCAUUCCACACUUUUAACGUCUUCACUCUACCUUUUCAAACCUGGGAAUAACAUGAGCAUGGCUGAGAACGAGGCAAAGCAUAUUAUUUUUGGCUGCGAUGUGAUAGAACUGCCACAAAUGAGAAGAAGACGAAAAGAUUCGAGGUGCAGGAUAAUGAAACACAGUGGUGGAAGUUCCAUGGGCAUGUGUAUUUAACGCCAAAAAAUUCUCGAAAAGUUACGGAAAAUUAUGUAUAGAUAUGAUGAUAACAAGGCGGGCAAUGCAAAAAAGAUGUGAUCAGCAGUGCUGCAACACGCGUGAAGUUGCAGUUUAUACUAUGCAUACACUAAGCAAAACCUGAGAAAGAAAUCACUAUGAAUCCAGUUAUGCAGAAGUGUUGACGGCGCGGCGAAGCGCGCCUUUCUGUCUAGUAAGAGUAUAAGACUGUGGUUGCCCCUUUUUCUUCUGUAGUGAUGGUCUAUUUAGUUACGCUUACCAUUUCUUCCCCUUCCCAGGGCCGGUGAACUUGAGCGCAUGCCAAUUUUGAUAAUUUCUUGGAACUUUUCUGCCUUCAGAUCAGGGCCAUAUUUUCCCCAAUUAUUGCUACAACAUACCAUCAGUUUUCUGAGGCCAGGCUUCACCUCAGUAGCUCCGGCAAGCACCCUGAACCUAGGACUGAGGGUGUCUUCCAUGCAAAGAGGGCCACAACCUGCAGGUCACUCUGUUUGUUUGUGCUUUGCUUCGGGAGUUCAUUACAAGUGCUGCACUUAAGGUGUCUGUGGGAAGCAUUUCAGGUGGUCAUCGAAAUACAAUAAACAUUAAGGAGGAUAUCUUCCUGUUCUUUUCCCAGUUUUUCCAUGGGAACCUGCAGCUCGAAAGAAUUAAUAGAUCAUUCAUGAUUUUGCUGCGGAAAAAGGAAAAUGACAGUUCCCGGGUGCCUUUCGCCCCAUUUUUCUGCUGAAUUGUCUGGUCAAGUGGAUCACUAAAUUGCUUGCAGGAAGGUUACAAAAAGAAAUUACCAAGUUAGUGGAUGACGACCAAUCUGGUAUUGUUAAAUCUCGGUGCAUAGCUGACAACUUUUUAUAUGCAAUGCAAUGGAUUUAGUUCAAGCUUGCAGAAAAAGAAAGAAAAAAGCUAUGGUUCUCAAGCUAGAUUUUCGCAAA